rnacentral:lncRNA from 1 species
CUAACAUGUUCAAUAUAAAUAUCAAUGUAACUUAAUUUCAUAAAACUUAAUAUAAAUACAAAUCUUAUGGAAAAUACACAUACACAUUAUUUUUUCUCAUUGCAGUCAUCAGUGACACUUGCCGAAUUAUCAUCUCGGCACAACUGUAGCCUACUGACCAGGAAACUGAUGGCGUUGCUGCUUCCAAGUACAAGGGUUCUCAUCUCUCUACUAGCUUCGUCAAGGAGAUCUUAUACCCAAGCAUAAGAAAGGCCCAGCACUACUGCACAGGAUGCUGCAGAGCUUUACAAAACUAUCCCUGCAGAUAGAUGCUGAAAGGUAAAGUUCCUUAUUCUAAGCUCUUCAGUAAACACUUUAAAUCAUGAGUCUCGAAAAAAGCCGGCAUACUUUCUAGCCCUGGUCACAAAACUAAUAUUUCUUAUCAAGACACCAUUGUAUUAUUUAGAAUUAUAUUUUAUAAGUAACUAUUUAAUAACUUAUUGGAAGAGAAAAGUUUCUGUCCUUUGGUUUUCGUAAGAAUAUUUUACUUAGAUUUUUCCUUGAAAAUAACAUAUCUAAAACACAUCUUUAAAAAUACAAAAUCACCACUCGAUAAAGUAAGACUAAUAAUGUCAACUUUGUGUAGCUCUUUUUGAAUUCAGUGUCUUUGCAAAUGUAUGUGUACUAUAAUUCUCAGGUAUCAGUUCUAGAUUUACUAUAGUAGCAUGGUAUUGUAAAACUCUCAAUUCCUCUAAAAAGAAUUGAUCUCCAGACUCUUUUUUUUUUAAAUGGAUUUAUUUGUUUUUGUCCAAUAGAGACACUCUGGAAGUUUCAUCUCUUGGACCUUGGUUUGCCCAUGAAGAAAGACAGUCCUCCUUCCUUGAGGAAGCCCAAGUAAAUGCUCUUCCAAGGAAACACUGCUACAGGUGCUACAUGUGAACAAUGCUCAUGUUUUUACAUUAAAUUUUUUCAGGUGCAUUAUUAGGUUAUUUUCAAAAUGACAUCAGAGUGGCAAUAGAAUGGCAUCUUUAAUUUGAUACCAAGUCAAAGUAAGCACUGGAGAAGUUUCAAAAAUCAUUUUAGAUUUUGCCGAUUUUUGACGAUUCCUUUUUGUUAACUUAGCUUUGUAUGAGAUAGCUACUGUAAAAAAAAUUCACUUAUGACCACUACUAUUUAAACAUUCAAAACAAGUUCAUAUGGUAUUAUGAUUUCAGUGCUCUUUGGUGAAGUGAAAAAGAAUACUAUGUGAAGUGUGAAUAAUGUGAAUAAUACUAUGUGAAGGCUGAAAUGUUAAAACAACAAUAACAACCAUAAUAAACCAUGUAAUUAAAAUAGAUCAACAUAACUACUAGAAUUAACUAAUAAAUCAAAAUUUUAGCAUGUCUCUUAUAGUUAGGCUCUUAUAGUUAGGUUUUAACAUAAUAAUUUUAGUGUGGUGUUUUUGUUUUGUGUGUGAAUGUGUGUGUUUGCGUUUGCAUUCUUUUUUUUCUUUUAGGGUUUUUUUUUUAAUUUUUAUUUAUUU